rnacentral:lncRNA from 1 species
ACAAGAGGAGAAACAGUGCAAUAAGAGGAGAAACAGUAUAAAUAUCUCUUAAAUGAAUGCAGUUUAAGAUAAAAAAUAGCGUAACAGGAAGAGAAAUGGUGCAACAAGAGAAGAAAUAGUGCAACAAGAGGAGAAACAGUUAAAGAGCACUUUUACAUACAUAAAGCGCGGCUGAAUAACCCAUCAUUAUCAAAAUGUUAGCUCCAAAGAGACAUGGACUUAACUAAGACUUAAAUUGAAAUCUAUUGCACAAAAUUGAACAAUUAAAUAGCCUC